CGGUAAUUCCAGCUCCAAUAGCGUAUACUAAAGUUGUUGCAGUUAAAAAGCUCGUAGUUGGAUUUCUGCGGGGACGGAGCGGCCGGACGCAACUUGCGUCUCGAGCUAGCGCUUUCCCCACAUCCUGCCGCGAACCGUGCUACCAUUAGUUUGGUGGCGCUGGGGAUCGGCUCGAUUACUUUGAGAAAAAUAGAGUGUUCAAAGCAGGCCACACGCCUUGAAUAAGUUAGCAUGGAAUAAUGACUAAGGACUUUGGUUCUUUUCGUUGGUGUUCGGGACUGAAGUAAUGAUUGAUAGGGACAGUUGGGGCGGUCCGUAUUCCAAAGCGAGAGGUGAAAUUCUUAGACCUUCGGAAGACGAACAGCUGCGAAAGCGUUCCGCAAGGAUGUUCCCUUUGAUCAAGAACGAAAGUUGGGGGAUCGAAGGCGAUCAGAUACCGUCGUAGUCUCAACUAUAAACUAUACCAGCUAGGGAUCGGCCAACGUUUAAUUAUUCGACUUGGUCGGCACCUUAUGAGAAAUCAAAGCAUCUGGGUUCCGGGGGGAGUAUGGUCGCAAGGCUGAAACUUAAAGGAAUUGACGGAAGGGCACCACCAGGCGUGGAGCCUGUGGCUUAAUUUGACUCAACACGGGAAAACUUACCAGGUCCAGACAUAGGAAGGAUUGACAGAUUGAUAGCUCUUUCUUGAUUCUGUGGGUGGUGGUGCAUGGCCGUUUUUAGUCGGUGAAGUGAUUUGUCUGCUUAAUUGCGUUAACGGACGAGACCCCAGCCUGCUAAAUAGCGCGGCCGAGCUUUGCUCGGUGCGAGCUUCUUAGAGGGACCAUGAUGCGCGAUAGCACAAGGAAGUUUGGGGCAACAACAGGUCUGUGAUGCCCUUAGAUGUUCUGGGCCGCACACGGGCUACACUGGCGCCUGCAACGAGCAUAUCAGCUGGCCCGAGAGGGUCUUGGCUAAUCUUUGGAACCGGCGCCGUGCUUGGGAUUGACCAUUGCAAUUGUUGGUCAUGCAACGAGGAAUGCCUUGUAAACGCGAGUCAUCAGCUCGCAUUGAAUACGUCCCUGCCCCUUGUACACACCGCCC
rnacentral:rRNA from 1 species